rnacentral:rRNA from 1 species
CACGUAGGGCGCAAGCGUUGUCCGGAAUUAUUGGGCGUAAAGAGCUCGUAGGCGGUCUGUUGCGUCCGCUGUGAAAACUCGGGGCUUAACCCCGAGCCUGCAGUGGAUACGGGCAGACUAGAGGUAGGUAGGGGAGAAUGGAAUUCCCGGUGUAGCGGUGAAAUGCGCAGAUAUCGGGAGGAACACCGGUGGCGAAGGCGGUUCUCUGGACCGAUACUGACGCUGAGGCGCGAAAGCGUGGGGAGCGAACAGG